CACUGCUGGGAAGGAGCCUGGCAAAGAGGGCAGAGGUGCUAACGAAAUCAAAGUUGCCCUGACUUUGAAGUUCAGGGGCAGGUCUGUCCAUAUAAACAUGGCUGUGGGGAUGGAGACAGGUGGGGGUAAAACGGCCUCUGAGCAGCCCCAAGCUCCUGCACGUGUCCCCAGGCUCCCAGCUGAGCAGGUCCCAGUCUGAUGGGACGUACAACAAACUGGGAUUCUCAGCCAGCGCUUGGUUCAUCGGCUGAGGCCGCUGUCAGAGGAGCGGAGCUGUGAGCUGCCAGCUGCCCUCCUGGUGGCCCUUUACUUGCUUCCUCCACUCCUUUCCAACCUAGAGUGGGGCUGGUGGAGGGGAGAACGGUUGCUGUCAUGGAGUCCUGUCUUCAUGAUCCACAGUUGGCUCAUUAGAUUGGGUUCUCAGAGUCCCUCCAGUGUGAGCUGGGCUGGUGUGAUUGGACCUGGGGCUCUCAGCUUGCAAAUUACAGGUGGCCCAUCCAAACCUGAACUUCUGAGCAGGGGCAGGUGAGCACCACAGCCAAGGGCCUAAAUAUAACCUGACUUGUCUUAUUUUUCAGGAUUUCCUGCUGCGCUAUAAGGGCUUCCUCGACCGUUGGGUUGGCCUCCAGAGGGAGCCAGGCCAGCCCUGGAGAUGGCCCAACGGCACCGAAUUCGACAACCGGUUCCCGAUAAGAGGAGGCGGCAACUGUGUUUUUCUGAUUGAUGAGAACUGGUUCGGCAGCUCGCGGUGCAGCACAUGGAGACGCUGGAUCUGCAGCAAAUCUGAUCCCUAUACGAUGGGGAAGGGACGUGCUGUGGAGUUAAAACCUGGAGACUCUUAGGAACGAGGCCUGGAAAAGCUUUAUUGGGGACACACCUUCCACUACCUGAAGAUGAAGGAAGCUGGGUCUUUAUUCCUUACAGACUCUCCCCAGGGCUUCCCUUGGGGUGAUGGGUCUCCAGAGUUAGAUUCCUUGGGGGUAGGUGAUAUUUUCCCUUUGCUCAGUUUAAUCCUAUUAGCUUGAGUUCUCUGCCCCCACAUGGGUUCCACUUAAUGAGCCCCUUCCCUCCUCAGAUUAUGUCUAGCACAGAGAUUCCCAAACUGGUACAGGAACUUGUUGGAAGGGAUACACCGUAACAAGUUGACCCCUUUAAAUGACGCUGGUCCAGUGCCCCUGUGCUAGAACAGGUAAUCCAUGUUUGACCAGUUAAGAGGUCAGGGCAGCACUUGGAGCUAUAAAGGAUCAGGGAGACUCAGCGAGGAGGAGGAGGUCCUUGAAGAAAGCUAUAGGAUGUUGCUAGGGGAAGGCUGAAGACAGGGGAGUGGCAGAGGGAUUUACCAGCUGACUUCUCCAUGCUGGAGCCAGAGAGAGCUGAGGGCCAGGGGAACACUGGUAGGGCCGAUGUGGUGCCCUGUUCUGUUACCUUUCAUCUCUAACAGGCCGAGUGCUGGAUAUUUCCCUGAUGAGGAUGAAGUCCCAGGGGAGAGGCUGUGGGGGUUACUGCUGGGAAGAAUGGGUUUGCGCUCCAGCUGGGGUAGCUGACAUGGCAGAAGGACAAGAGAGGACCAAAGAGGCCAGGUGUGGUGGAAGAUGGCCCAGAUGUCAUAGGAUUUUAAGAACUAUACGUGCUGGGGGUGAUAAAUGGAAUGUUGUUUUGGAAUGUUGUUGUGGACUGUUUGCACAAGUUUUUGUAAUAAGCUGAUCCCAGGGAUGGGUCUGAUCUGGGUGGAUACGCCAUGACUUUGAAAAAAAUCCAAUGUUGAUUUUUAGAUUUUUUUUUUUAAAUUUAAAUUAAAACAAGUUUAUUUUUUAAAAAUAAACCUGUCUGGAAGCCUAAACAUGUCUGUUACAACAACAUAAUAUAAAUAUAAAACUUAAUACUAAACAAUACAUAUUUGCUGCCAAGUUUUAACGAAGGUCAGACCAUUGAACUGCUGGAAAUCAUGGGCUCUGCACCUGCAACCAGAGUUUGCUGAAGUGCUAAACCAGCUUUUGACAGCAGUUGCCUCUUUUGCAGGUGUAGAGAGAAGAUUUUCUUCUUUUCAGGUUAUUCAACAAGUUCAGUUCAGUGACUAGUUCAUUCAAAGUUAAGAAGCCAACUGGGGAGUUGGAAAAUGAGCUGUUCUGCUUUUAUUUCUCUCCCAAUGAAUAAAAACUAGGUCUGAGAGGACAAGAUCUACUAGUUCUAAAUCCUGAGGGACAUGGUGACCAGAAAUAAUCAGUUCAAUUCACUAACUGCGGCUACUACUGCCUUUGUUUAAUACAUCGGCUUUAAAUGCAAACUAUGGUUUGAUAAACUUUUUUUCUUGUGUAUCCAACACAUUUUAGAUAGUUUUAUUAAAUAAAAUGUUAAAAUGCUGGGUUUUGUGCACUUCUAGUGAAUUUCCAUCCAAAUAGAGCUUGACAUAAAUCACAAGUAAAAGAUUAAUUUGUACAUGUUUAUUACUAGAUGAAUCUGAAUAAAUGUACAGUAAGCUCUGUAAUUGCUCAAAAUAUGUAUGGGUAUAGUGUAGCAUCCUGGUUAGCAAAAAAGAAACACCAAAUGGAGUGUAAAGGCUGUAUUCAAAGACAUGCUCAUUUGAACUAACAGUUAUCAACCAAGAAGAAUCAACCUUUCUUUAGGAAAAUAAAAAGUACAAAUGCAAAA